GGAAAUGUUCCAGCAGCUUUCCACAGGUUCAGAUUCUCCAAUAAAACCCUCAUCAAGUAAACCGCCAGCAGUUUCUUCAGAUAAAUCGUCAUCCAAACCCAGUCUUAAAGGCAAAGCCAAAUGGGCAGACAUGGCGUCCUCCUCUUCGUCAACAUCAUCAUCUUCCCUUGUUUCAAGUAAAGAUAGCAAUGAUGAUAUUCUUCAAUCAAUAAUAAUAAAAAGUAAAGCUGACAACAAAGAAAAAGGAAAAGCAAAGUUAAAACAAAAAAGCAAAGUAAAAAGAAAAGAAAAGAAAGAGGACACUUCGUCCUCAUCUGAUUAAAAGGCAGAAGGAACCUUAUUCCUUCACGUGUCUCUACAGUAAAAGGCAAGCUCCAAUGGCCGACCAAGCACUAUUUCUCUACAGUAAAAUUCCGUGGCAAACAGAGUAAUGUGCAUCAAC
rnacentral:lncRNA from 1 species